GAUGAACGCUAGCGGCAGGCUUAACACAUGCAAGUCGAGGGGCAGCAGGGGUAGCAAUACUCGCUGGCGACCGGCAAACGGGUGCGGAACACGUACACAAUCUACCUUUAUCUGGGGUAUAGCCCGAAGAAAUUCGGAUUAAUCCCCCAUAAGAUAUUAGAGUGGCAUCACUCCGAUAUUAAAACUACGGUGGAUAAAGAUGAGUGUGCGUCCUAUUAGCUAGUUGGUAGGUUAACGGCCUACCAAGGCAACGAUGGGUAGCUGGUGCGAGGGCCCGACCAGCCAAACGGACAAUGAGACACGGGCCCGACUCCUACGGGAGGCAGCAGUGAGGAAUAUUGGUCAAUGGAAGCAAGUCUGAACCAGCCGUGCCGCGUGAAGGAUGAAGGCCUUCUGGGUUGUAAACUUCUUUUAUUGGGGAAGAAAAUUACGGUUUCUACUGUAACCGACGGUACCCAAGGAAUAAGCACCGGCUAACUCCGUGCCAGCCGCCGCAGUAAGAC
rnacentral:rRNA from 1 species